UACGUAGGGUGCGAGCGUUGUCCGGAAUUACUGGGCGUAAAGAGCUCGUAGGUGGUUUGUCGCGUUGUUCGUGAAAACUCACAGCUCAACUGUGGGCGUGCGGGCGAUACGGGCAGACUGGAGUACUGCAGGGGAGACUGGAAUUCCUGGUGUAGCGGUGGAAUGCGCAGAUAUCAGGAGGAACACCGGUGGCGAAGGCGGGUCUCUGGGCAGUAACUGACGCUGAGGAGCGAAAGCGUGGGGAGCGAAUGGG
rnacentral:rRNA from 1 species